rnacentral:lncRNA from 1 species
AAAUGGUGGAGCCACAAGUGGUAGAUUUGGCUGGGGAUAUGCCAUCUCCUAAGAUUGCUGAUGAGGUAAUCUUUGUUUCACUUUUACUUCCACUUUGUUUAUUGUUGUGAAAAACUUCAAUGUUGGCGACUUUCUUUGCAGGAUGCUGAUAGGACUGUGCGUUCCAUCCAGGACUUGUUCACUUCCUGGGGGCAAGUUAAGAAAUCUCGCCCUGCUUCAACCAGUUGUCCUUCUGCUUCUUCAGAGGAAGAUAUGAAGUUCCUCAAGCAGUCGAUAUUUGAGUAUGUGUCAUUUAUGGAUAUGGAUAUCAGUCAGGCUGGUGCU